GAUUUCUGGUUCGGCGCAUUUGGCCCGUCUCGGUUUACGGGAUUGUGUGCCGACGUGCGCCAUCCAUCCUUCGAGAGAACACGUCUACCCUUCACUGGGCGGGCGUGCUAUCUCGAUCUUUUACUUUGAAAAAAUUAGAGUGUUUCAAGCAGGCUUUAUGCUAUGAAUACAUUAGCAUGGAAUAAUAAUUUAGGACUUCGGUUCUAUUUUGUUGGUUUCUAGGACUGAAGUAAUGAUUGAUAGGGAUAGUUGGGGGUGCUAGUAUUCAGCGGCCAGAGGUGAAAUUCUCGGAUUCGCUGAAGACUAACUUAUGCGAAAGCAUU
rnacentral:rRNA from 1 species